rnacentral:rRNA from 1 species
GGUAGGAUAGAGGCCUACCAUGGUGGUAACGGGUAACGGGGUGUUAGGGCACGACACCGGAGAGGGAGCCUGAGAAACGGCUACCACAUCCAAGGAUGGCAGCAGGCGCGCAAAUUACCCAAUCCCGACACGGGGAGGUAGUGACAAUAAAUAACAAUACGGGGUUCUUUCGGAUCUCGUAAUUGGAAUGAGUACAAUUUAAAUCUCUUAACGAGGAACAAUUGGAGGGCAAGUCUGGUGCCAGCAGCCGCGGUAAUUCCAGCUCCAAUAGCGUAUAUUAAAGUUGUUGCAGUUAAAAAGCUCGUAGUUGAAUUUCGGGACCAAUUUGUUGGUCGUGCCUCGGUACGUACUGGUAUUAUUGGUUUCUACCUUCUGAAGAACCUUGAUGUCAUUAAUUUGGUGUCUUGGGGAAUCAGGACUGUUACUUUGAAAAAAUUAGAGUGUUUAAAGCAAGCAUACGCUUGAAUACAUUAGCAUGGAAUAAUGAAAUAGGACGUUUGAUUCUAUUUUGUUGGUUUCUAGGAUCGACGUAAUGAUUAAUAGGGAUAGUUGGGGGCAUUAGUAUUCAAUUGUCAGAGGUGAAAUUCUUGGAUUUAUUGAAGACUAACUACUGCGAAAGCAUUUGCCAAGGAUGUUUUCAUUAAUCAAGAACGAAAGUUAGGGGAUCGAAGACGAUCAGAUACCGUCGUAGUCUUAACCAUAAACUAUGCCGACUAGGGAUCGGAUGAUGUUAAUUUUUUAAUGACUCAUUCGGCGCCUUACGGGAAACCAAAGUGUUUGGGUUC